rnacentral:rRNA from 1 species
AACGAACGCUGGCGGCGCGCUUAACACAUGCAAGUCGAACGAGAAGGCGUAGCAAUACGCUUGUACAGUGGCGAACGGGUGAGUAAUACGUGGGCGACCUACCCUCGAGUGGGGAAUAACCCGCCGAAGGCGGGCUAAUGCCGCGUACGCUUCCAUCUUUAUGGAGGUGGAAGGAAAGCCGUGCCGUGGGCACGGCGCUCAAGGAUGGGCUCACGUCCUAUCAGCUUGUUGGAGGGUAACGGCCUACCAAGGCUCCGACGGGUAGCUGGUCUGAGAGGACGAUCAGCCACACUGGCACUGCGACACGGGCCAGACUCCUACGGGAGGCAGCAGUGAGGAAUAUUGCGCAAUGGGCGAAAGCCUGACGCAGCGACGCC